AUUGAACGCUGGCGGCAGGCCUAACACAUGCAAGUCGAGCGGUAGCACAGAGAGCUUGCUCUCGGGUGACGAGCGGCGGACGGGUGAGUAAUGUCUGGGAAACUGCCUGAUGGAGGGGGAUAACUACUGGAAACGGUAGCUAAUACCGCAUAACGUCGCAAGACCAAAGUGGGGGACCUUCGGGCCUCAUGCCAUCAGAUGUGCCCAGAUGGGAUUAGCUAGUAGGUGGGGUAACGGCUCACCUAGGCGACGAUCCCUAGCUGGUCUGAGAGGAUGACCAGCCACACUGGAACUGAGACACGGUCCAGACUCCUACGGGAGGCAGCAGUGGGGAAUAUUGCACAAUGGGCGCAAGCCUGAUGCAGCCAUGCCGCGUGUGUGAAGAAGGCCUUCGGGUUGUAAAGCACUUUCAGCGGGGAGGAAGGCGGUGAGGUUAAUAACCUCAUCGAUUGACGUUACCCGCAGAAGAAGCACCGGCUAACUCCGUGCCAGCAGCCGCGGUAAUACGGAGAGUGCAAGCGUUAAUCGGAAUUACUGGGCGUAAAGCGCACGCAGGCGGUCUGUCAAGUCGGAUGUGAAAUCCCCGGGCUCAACCUGGGAACUGCAUUCGAAACUGGCAGGCUAGAGUCUUGUAGAGGGGGGUAGAAUUCCAGGUGUAGCGGUGAAAUGCGUAGAGAUCUGGAGGAACACCGGUGGCGAAGGCGGCCCCCUGGACAAAGACUGACGCUCAGGUGCGAAAGCGUGGGGAGCAAACAGGAUUAGAUACCCUGGUAGUCCACGCCGUAAACGAUGUCGAUUUGGAGGUUGUGCCCUUGAGGCGUGGCUUCCGGAGCUAACGCGUUAAAUCGACCGCCUGGGGAGUACGGCCGCAAGGUUAAAACUCAAAUGAAUUGACGGGGGCCCGCACAAGCGGUGGAGCAUGUGGUUUAAUUCGAUGCAACGCGAAGAACCUUACCUGGUCUUGACAUCCACAGAACUUUCCAGAGAUGGAUUGGUGCCUUCGGGAACUGUGAGACAGGUGCUGCAUGGCUGUCGUCAGCUCGUGUUGUGAAAUGUUGGGUUAAGUCCCGCAACGAGCGCAACCCUUAUCCUUUGUUGCCAGCGGUCCGGCCGGGAACUCAAAGGAGACUGCCAGUGAUAAACUGGAGGAAGGUGGGGAUGACGUCAAGUCAUCAUGGCCCUUACGACCAGGGCUACACACGUGCUACAAUGGCAUAUACAAAGAGAAGCGACCUCGCGAGAGCAAGCGGACCUCAUAAAGUAUGUCGUAGUCCGGAUUGGAGUCUGCAACUCGACUCCACGAAGUCGGAAUCGCUAGUAAUCGUAGAUCAGAAUGCUACGGUGAAUACGUUCCCGGGCCU
rnacentral:rRNA from 1 species